rnacentral:rRNA from 1 species
AGAGUUUGAUCAUGGCUCAGGACGAACGCUGGCGGCACGCUUAACACAUGCAAGUCGAACGAGAGAAGAGGAGCUUGCUUUUCUGAUCUAGUGGCGGACGGGUGAGUAACACGUGAGCAAUCUGCCUUUCAGAGGGGGAUACCGAUUGGAAACGAUCGUUAAUACCGCAUAACAUAAUUGAACCGCAUGAUUUGAUUAUCAAAGAUUUAUCGCUGAAAGAUGAGCUCGCGUCUGAUUAGCUAGUUGGUAAGGUAACGGCUUACCAAGGCGACGAUCAGUAGCCGGACUGAGAGGUUGAUCGGCCACAUUGGGACUGAGACACGGCCCAGACUCCUACGGGAGGCAGCAGUGGGGAAUAUUGCACAAUGGAGGAAACUCUGAUGCAGCGAUGCCGCGUGAGGGAAGAAGGUUUUAGGAUUGUAAACCUCUGUCUUCAGGGACGAAAAAAGACGGUACCUGAGGAGGAAGCUCCGGCUAACUACGUGCCAGCAGCCGCGGUAAUACGUAGGGAGCGAGCGUUGUCCGGAAUUACUGGGUGUAAAGGGAGCGUAGGCGGGAUCGCAAGUCAGAUGUGAAAACUAUGGGCUUAACCCAUGAACUGCAUUUGAAACUGUGGUUCUUGAGUGAAGUAGAGGUAAGCGGAAUUCCUAGCGUAGCGGUGAAAUGCGUAGAUAUUAGGAGGAACAUCAGUGGCGAAGGCGGCUUACUGGGCUUUAACUGACGCUGAGGCUCGAAAGCGUGGGGAGCAAACAGGAUUAGAUACCCUGGUAGUCCACGCCGUAAACGAUGAUUACUAGGUGUGGGGGGACUGACCCCUUCCGUGCCGCAGCAAACGCAAUAAGUAAUCCACCUGGGGAGUACGACCGCAAGGUUGAAACUCAAAGGAAUUGACGGGGGCCCGCACAAGCAGUGGAGUAUGUGGAUUAAUUCGAAGCAACGCGAAGAACCUUACCAGGUCUUGACAUCGUAUGCAUAGCUCAGAGAUGAGUGAAAUCUCUUCGGAGACAUAUAGACAGGUGGUGCAUGGUUGUCGUCAGCUCGUGUCGUGAGAUGUUGGGUUAAGUCCCGCAACGAGCGCAACCCUUACUGUUAGUUGCUACGCAAGAGCACUCUAGCAGGACUGCCGUUGACAAAACGGAGGAAGGUGGGGAUGACGUCAAAUCAUCAUGCCCCUUAUGACCUGGGCCUCACACGUACUACAAUGGCUGUCAACAGAGGGAAGCAAAGCCGCGAGGUGGAGCGAACCCCUAAAAGCAGUCUUAGUUCGGAUUGUAGGCUGCAACCCGCCUACAUGAAGUCGAAAUUGCUAGUAAUCGCAGAUCAGCAUGCUGCGGUGAAUACGUUCCCGGGCCUUGUACACACCGCCCGUCACGCCAUGGGAGUCGGUAACACCCGAAGCCUGUAGUCUAACCGCAAGGAGGACGCAGUCGAAGGUGGGAUUGAUGACUGGGGUGAAGUCGUAACAAGGUA